AGACUGUCGGGGAGAGUGGUCUGAGGUUAGUAGUAGACUGUCAGGGGAGAGUGGCAUGGGGUUAGCAGUAGACUGUUGAGGAGAGUGGUCUGGGGUUAGCAGAAGACUGUCAGGGGAGAGUGGUCUGAGGUUAGUAGUAGACUGUCAGGGGAGAGUGGUCUGGGGUUAGCAGUAGACUGUCAGGGGAGAGUGGUCUGGGGUUAGUAGUAGACUGUCAGGGGAGAGUGGUCUGGGGUUAGCAGUAGACUGUCAGGGGAGAGUGGUCUGAGGUUAGUAGUAGACUGUCAGGGGAGAAUGGCAUGGGGUUAGCAGUAGACUGUCAGGGGAGAGUGGUCUGAGGUUAGUAGUAGACUGUCGGGGAGAGUGGCAUGGGGUUAGUAGUAGACUGUCAGGGGAGAGUGGUCUGGGGUUAGUAGUAGACUGUCGGGGAGAGUGGCAUGGGGUUAGUAGUAGACUGUCAGGGGAGAGUGGUCUGAGGUUAGUAGUAGACUGUCAGGGGAGAGUGGUCUGGGGUUAGUAG
rnacentral:lncRNA from 1 species